rnacentral:rRNA from 1 species
AGACGGGUGAGUAACACGUGGGAACGUACCCUUUGGUUCGGAAUAACCCUGGGAAACUAGGGCUAAUACCGGAUAUCUCCGGGAGGAGAAAGGUUUACCGCCGAAGGAGCGGCCCGCGUCCGAUUAGCUAGUUGGUGGGGUAACGGCUCACCAAGGCGACGAUCGGUAGCUGGUCUGAGAGGACGAUCAGCCACACUGGGAUUGAGAACGGCCCAG